GCAAGUCGAACGGUAGCACAGAGAGCUUGCUCUUGGGUGACGAGUGGCGGACGGGUGAGUAAUGUCUGGGAAACUGCCCGAUGGAGGGGGAUAACUACUGGAAACGGUAGCUAAUACCGCAUAACGUCGCAAGACCAAAGUGGGGGACCUUCGGGCCUCACACCAUCGGAUGUGCCCAGAUGGGAUUAGCUAGUAGGUGGGGUAAUGGCUCACCUAGGCGACGAUCCCUAGCUGGUCUGAGAGGAUGACCAGCCACACUGGAACUGAGACACGGUCCAGACUCCUACGGGAGGCAGCAGUGGGGAAUAUUGCACAAUGGGCGCAAGCCUGAUGCAGCCAUGCCGCGUGUAUGAAGAAGGCCUUCGGGUUGUAAAGUACUUUCAGCGAGGAGGAAGGCAUUGUGGUUAAUAACCGCAGUGAUUGACGUUACUCGCAGAAGAAGCACCGGCUAACUCCGUGCCAGCAGCCGCGGUAAUACGGAGGGUGCAAGCGUUAAUCGGAAUUACUGGGCGUAAAGCGCACGCAGGCGGUCUGUCAAGUCGGAUGUGAAAUCCCCGGGCUCAACCUGGGAACUGCAUUCGAAACUGGCAGGCUAGAGUCUUGUAGAGGGGGGUAGAAUUCCAGGUGUAGCGG
rnacentral:rRNA from 1 species